rnacentral:rRNA from 1 species
ACAUGCAAGUCGAGGGGCAGCAUGGUCUUAGCUUGCUAAGGCCGAUGGCGACCGGCGCACGGGUGAGUAACACGUAUCCAACCUGCCGUCUACUCUUGGACAGCCUUCUGAAAGGAAGAUUAAUACAAGAUGGCAUCAUGAGUCCGCAUGUUCACAUGAUUAAAGGUAUUCCGGUAGACGAUGGGGAUGCGUUCCAUUAGAUAGUAGGCGGGGUAACGGCCCACCUAGUCUUCGAUGGAUAGGGGUUCUGAGAGGAAGGUCCCCCACAUUGGAACUGAGACACGGUCCAAACUCCUACGGGAGGCAGCAGUGAGGAAUAUUGGUCAAUGGGCGAGAGCCUGAACCAGCCAAGUAGCGUGAAGGAUGACUGCCCUAUGGGUUGUAAACUUCUUUUAUAAAGGAAUAAAGUCGGGUAUGGAUACCCGUUUGCAUGUACUUUAUGAAUAAGGAUCGGCUAACUCCGUGCCAGCAGCCGCGGUAAUACGGAGGAUCCGAGCGUUAUCCGGAUUUAUUGGGUUUAAAGGGAGCGUAGAUGGAUGUUUAAGUCAGUUGUGAAAGUUUGCGGCUCAACCGUAAAAUUGCAGUUGAUACUGGAUAUCUUGAGUGCAGUUGAGGCAGGCGGAAUUCGUGGUGUAGCGGUGAAAUGCUUAGAUAUCACGAAGAACUCCAAUUGCGAAGGCAGCCUGCUAAGCUGCAACUGACAUUGAGGCUCGAAAGUGUGGGUAUCAAACAGGAUUAGAUACCCUGGUAGUCCACACGGUAAACGAUGAAUACUCGCUGUUUGCGAUAUACUGCAAGCGGCCAAGCGAAAGCGUUAAGUAUUCCACCUGGGGAGUACGCCGGCAACGGUGAAACUCAAAGGAAUUGACGGGGGCCCGCACAAGCGGAGGAACAUGUGGUUUAAUUCGAUGAUACGCGAGG